rnacentral:rRNA from 1 species
AGGGUCUGUAGCCGGCCAAGUAAGUCCCUUGGGAAAUCUGGCAGCUUAACUGUCAGGCUGCUAGGGGAUACUGCUAGGCUUGGGACCGGGAGAGGUGAGAGGUACCUUGGGGGUAGGGGUGAAAUCUUGUGAUCCUCGGGGGACCACCAGUGGCGAAGGCGUCUCACCAGAACGGGUCCGACGGUAAGGGACGAAAGCUAGGGGCACGAACCGGAUUAGAUACCCGGGUAGUCCUAGCCGUAAACGAUGCUCGCUAGGUGUCAGUCACGGUGCGACCGUGAUUGGUGCCGUAGGGAAGCCGUGAAGCGAGCCACCUGGGAAGUAUGGCCGCAAGGCUGAAACUUAAAGGAAUUGGCGGGGGAGCACUACAACGGGUGGAGCCUGCGGUUUAAUUGGAUUCAACGCCGGAAAUCUCACCGGGGGCGACAGCGAUAUGAAGGUCAGGCUGAAGACCUUACCCGAUUAGCUGAGAGGUGGGGCCAUGGCCA